rnacentral:rRNA from 1 species
UGACCCUGAAAUCAAGUGCUUACAAGCAGUUGGAGCUUUAAUUUAGUAUUUUAUAUUAAAUGUAAAGUGACAGCGUACCUUUUGCAUAAUGGGUCAGCGAGUUAAUCUAUUAAGCAAGCUUAAGCCGUUAGGUGUAGGCGCAGCGAAAGCGAGUCUGAAUAGGGCGUUUAGUUUAAUGGAUUAGACCCGAAACCAAGUGAUCUAGCCAUGACCAGGUUGAAGAUGUAGUAAAAUACAUUGGAGGACCGAACCUGUUACUGUUGCAGUAGUAUUGGACGAGUUGUGGCUAGGGGUGAAAGGCCAAUCAAACUUGGAAAUAGCUGGUUCUCCGCGAAAUCUAUUUAGGUAGAGCGUUGUAAUAUAUACUUUGGGG